UACGGGAGGCAGCAGUGGGGAAUAUUGCACAAUGGGCGCAAGCCUGAUGCAGCCAUGCCGCGUGUAUGAAGAAGGCCUUCGGGUUGUAAAGUACUUUCAGUCGUGAGGAAGGUGUUAAGGUUAAUAACCUUAGCAAUUGACGUUAGCGACAGAAGAAGCACCGGCUAACUCCGUGCCAGCAGCCGCGGUAAUACGGAGGGUGCGAGCGUUAAUCGGAAUUACUGGGCGUAAAGGGCACGCAGGCGGUUAAUUAAGUUGGAUGUGAAAUCCCCGGGCUUAACCUGGGAAUGGCAUUCAAGACUGGUUAGCUAGAGUCUUGUAGAGGGGGUAGAAUUCCAUGUGUAGCGGUGAAAUGCGUAGAGAUGUGGAGGAAUACCGGUGGCGAAGGCGGCCCCUGGCAAAGGACUGACGCUCAUGUGCGAAAGCGUGGGGAGCAAA
rnacentral:rRNA from 1 species